rnacentral:rRNA from 1 species
CCUACGGGUGGCUGCAGUGGGGGAUAUUGCACAAUGGGGGGAACCCUGAUGCAGCGCCGCCGCGUGGGUGAAGAAGCGCCUCGGCGCGUAAAGCCCUGUCAGCAGGGAAGAAAAUGACGGUACCUGAAGAAGAAGCCCCGGCGAACUACGUGCCCGCAGCCGCGGUAAUACGUAGGGAGCAAGCGUUAUCCGGAUUUCCUGGGUGGAAAGGGGGCGCAGACGGCGAUGCAAGCCAGGAGUGAAAGCCCGGGACCCAACCCCGGGACUGCUCUGGGAACUGAGUGGGUGGAGGGCAGGAGGGGCAGGCGGAAUUCCUGGUGUAGCGGUGAAAUGCGUAGAUAUCAGGAGGAACACCGGUGGCGAAGGCGGCCUGCUGGACUGCAACUGACGUUGAGGCCCGAAAGCGUGGGGAGCAAACAGGAUUAGAUACCCGUGUAGUC